rnacentral:rRNA from 1 species
AGACGGAGGGCGCAAGCGUUGUUCGGAAUUACUGGGCGUAAAGGGCAGGUAGGUGGUCUGUUAAGUCUUCUGUGAAAAUCCGGGGCUCAACCCCGCGAAAUGCAGGUGAAACUGGCAGACUUGAGACCGGUAGAGGCUAGCGGAAUUCCUGGUGUAGCGGUGGAAUGCGUAGAUAUCAGGAAGAACACCUGUGGCGAAGGCGGCUAGCUGGGCCGGUUCUGACACUGAACUGCGAAAGCGUGGGGAGCAAACAGGAUUAGAAACCCCGGUAGUCC